rnacentral:rRNA from 2 species
GCUACACAUGCAGUCGAGCGGAACGAGUUAUCUAGAAGCCUUCGGGUGGAGAUAACGGCGUCGAGCGGCGGACGGGUGAGUAAUGCCUGGGAAAUUGCCCUGAUGUGGGGGAUAACCAUUGGAAACGAUGGCUAAUACCGCAUAAUAGCUUCGGCUCAAAGAGGGGGACCUUCGGGCCUCUCGCGUCAGGAUAUGCCCAGGUGGGAUUAGCUAGUUGGUGAGGUAAUGGCUCACCAAGGCGACGAUCCCUAGCUGGUCUGAGAGGAUGAUCAGCCACACUGGAACUGAGACACGGUCCAGACUCCUACGGGAGGCAGCAGUGGGGAAUAUUGCACAAUGGGCGCAAGCCUGAUGCAGCCAUGCCGCGUGUAUGAAGAAGGCCUUCGGGUUGUAAAGUACUUUCAGCAGUGAGGAAGGUGGUGUCGUUAAUAGCGGCAUCAUUUGACGUUAGCUGCAGAAGAAGCACCGGCUAACUCCGUGCCAGCAGCCGCGGUAAUACGGAGGGUGCGAGCGUUAAUCGGAAUUACUGGGCGUAAAGCGCAUGCAGGUGGUUUGUUAAGUCAGAUGUGAAAGCCCGGGGCUCAACCUCGGAAUUGCAUUUGAAACUGGCAGACUAGAGUACUGUAGAGGGGGGUAGAAUUUCAGGUGUAGCGGUGAAAUGCGUAGAGAUCUGAAGGAAUACCGGUGGCGAAGGCGGCCCCCUGGACAGAUACUGACACUCAGAUGCGAAAGCGUGGGGAGCAAACAGGAUUAGAUACCCUGGUAGUCCACGCCGUAAACGAUGUCUACUUGGAGGUUGUGGCCUUGAGCCGUGGCUUUCGGAGCUAACGCGUUAAGUAGACCGCCUGGGGAGUACGGUCGCAAGAUUAAACUCAGAGAGAU